rnacentral:rRNA from 1 species
GACGAACGCUGGCGGCGUGCUUAACACAUGCAAGUCGAACGGAAAGGCCCCUUUUGGGGUCCUCGAGUGGCGAACGGGUGAGUAACACGUGAGUAACCUGCCCUUGACUUCGGGAUAACUUCAGGAAACUGGGGCUAAUACCGGAUAGGAAUCCUUGCUGCAUGGUGGGGGUUGGAAAGCUUCGGCGGUUUUGGAUGGACUCGCGGCUUAUCAGCUUGUUGGUGGGGUAGUGGCUUACCAAGGCUUUGACGGGUAGCCGGCCUGAGAGGGCGACCGGCCACAUUGGGACUGAGAUACGGCCCAGACUCCUACGGGAGGAAGCAGUGGGGAAUAUUGCACAAUGGGCGGAAGCCUGAUGCAGCAACGCCGCGUGCGGGAGGACGGCCUUCGGGUUGUAAACCGCUUUCAGCAGGGGCGAAGCUUGUGGUGACGGUACCUGCAGAAGAAGCACCGGCUAACUACGUG